UCAUAUUGUUUUUAGAAGUAUAUAUCCUAUAUAUGGGUAAUAGAUAACAUCUAACGAACUAAAUCUUAUUUGAGUUUGUUCUUCUCCAAAUGGAGAAAUACAUUAUCUUAUGAUGCUAUUUUCCUUGAUAUCUUUCAAGGAAACUCAUCUAAAGUGUUACUUUUCCUUGGAUCAAAUCUAAGGAGGUAAAUACUUUAGAUGUCUUACUCAUCAACUUACAUUUCUUGAAUUCUUUGAAACCUUUUGCAAAGUAUUCGGACUUGUGUUUAUUCAAAAUAAACUAUAGUCCAACCGAGAGUGAUCUUCGGUGAAUGUCAUCCAACAUGAGUAGUAUUAUGUUGUGGAUAAGUGCCACUAACAUCUAAGUGAAUUAACCUCAACAACUUUGUGAUUCUUUCUUCUUUCCAAAAGAAUAAAGAUUCGAACAUUUCGCCUCUAUACAAUUUUAACAAGAAGGUAUUGGAUCCGGAUCUAACAAUCCAAAGCAUCCAUCUUUCACCAACUCAUAACUUAUGUUUUUAGAGGUAUCACAACUUUAGUUGGGAUUAGUCACUACCUUGCAACCUUUUGGGUUUUAAGCAUCGUUGUAUUCUAAACAGUUAACACUACCAUAUCAUCUCUACUAUAGAGACAAUCAAUUAGAUUACUAUAAUCCAAUCAUUGAUUAAUAAAGAACAAUGUUUUGUCAAACAAAACAUUUAUCCAUUUCACAUAGUGACGGAAUUUAGUUCCUUAAAAUUGGAAUAUAAAGACAAUCUAUGUUUUUCCAAUUUCUUUGGUAGUUCAUAUGAGGAAGUAAGUACCAUCUGCUUUCGCAGAGAUCUAUAUUUUAUUCACUUUCCGAAUGUGAAGUACUUUCUCUUCUCUCAUAUAUCUUCUACUUCUUAUUAGUCACACUUUUACAACGAUUGUAAAACAUAGUUACUAAUACGGAAUCAAGCAUUCAAGUAGAAGAAUCAACUGUUUUGAACUAUUCAAGAACUUUUUACAACACCUUCGAAAGGCGUGUUCUUGACAUUUGCAAGACAUUUCUUGCAAAUACCCCUUCCAAUGUCCAUCCUUUCAUAAAGAAAGUUUGUUCCCUUGGAGUUAAUUUUAUCUUCUUCAUUUGACUUCUCCUUUGACUACAAUAGUCAUGGUCCCUAAACUCCCACUAUCUCUCUUGAAACUUAUUUCAAUUGUGUUAUACACAUCAAACAUUUUUGGAGAGCAUGUGGUUAUUGUUCACUACAUAGUUUACAAUAAACUUAGUGAACUAUAAGGAUAGGGACACAAAGGUGAAGUCCUUGCCUAGUUUCCGUCUCAUUAAGUGGUUUAUCACUUCAACACUUAAUGAUUCAAAAUCAUUAUAAGUCCAUGUUAAUGGACUAUUUUUGUCAACCAACCAUUAUGUUCUAAGCAUAAUUACAAACCUUCAAGAGUUGUACAAGGCAACUCUCAUUUCUUCAUACAACAAUUUGUAAGUGAAGAAUCAUGGCACAUAAAGUGUCCAUGCCUUUGUGCUUUCUUCCCAAGUUCCUUGUUCAUGUAACAAAGAAACAAGCACUAAGUGUUUGCAUUGACUAAGAGUUGUUCAAAGCAACUCCUAUUUCUUCAUACAACAAUUUGUAAUUGAAGAAUUAUGACAUUUAAAAGUGUCCUUGUCAUUAUGCUAAUCUUCGUAAGUUCCUUUGUUCAUAUAACAAAGGAUUAAGCAUUGGUUGUUUGUGUUGUCCUCUUCAUGAUAGACAUUUCUAACAUGUUCUUCCAAUGAUACAUUAUCAUUAGGAAGAUUGUGAGGAUGAGACUACUUAGAUACAUAUGCAAUCCUUCUAAGACAUUCUUUGGGAUUGUGGUACCUAAGUCCGGAAACUAAAACAUUCGGUUUUUAUUUGUCAAGUGUUGGAUAGCGUUUGCAAAUAUAUUGGUAAACAAAUACAUAACGAAUAUAAAUAGAUUGAUUUUAAGCCAUUUGAUUCGGGUCUUUAAAUCAAAAUAGCACCACCCACUAUUUUUGGCAAAUUCCAUAUCCCUCAUUGGAAUUCGAGAGUUUUGGAUGAAACUCUUAGUAGGGUAUGGGAGGCUCACUAUUACCAAGCCCACCUCACGAUGAUACGAUAUAUGGCUAGCAAUAAUAAUAAUGAGAGAGUACGCUUACUCAUUUGCAACUCAUGCAAGUACCCAUCUUAUUUGGCCUCUAGAGAAUGUAACCUCACAAUGAUAUGAUAUUGGUUCCAUUGCACUUAGUUAAGUUCUUCCCACCAUGCUUAGUGUGUGAAGGGGUUCAAGAAUAGCCUCACGAUGAUACGAUAUAUAGCUAUCCUCGUUGCCUACACUCACCUCAUCAUAUGUAUAUGGAUUCCUCCUGAGUAUAAGCAUGCACUGUGUACUCCCCCAUGAUAGGGUGAAGCCGGUGUACAAGUCAUAAACGAUUGGAUCCCACCACGGUGGAAGGCCACGAAGAGAUAUUCUAAACAUCUCUCGCUUAUCAACUUAAUAUUGGUUUGGUUGAGGGUUUUAGGUCUCAUCACAUAUAAACAUACAUUUUAAUCUCUAUUAAAACAAUUUUGGUCCUAUUACAACUAUUGGUCCAUAUGAUUGUUUUUAGUUGUAUAUAAUACUCCCACUAUGCUUAUAAAACGGUUUUUAAAGCAAGAGUAUAUGAUACUACUAACAUAACAUUUGCAUUCAUUUGAUGGACUAUAUAGUUGCCUUAGGGCCUUAGGAUGAUUAUGAACCUUUAUUUAGAUUCAACACGAGCCUUGUGUUGAAUCUCGGUCUAGGGAUGGUGAUUGAUUUUAGUUACGCGUUUAAUCACAUUAAGGCAUGUUGUCUUAGGGGCGUUGGACCCAACUACUUCAUUUUCAUGCAUAUCAAAUAAAGCAAGAAAGAAGUACUUCAAAGUAAAGGUGAGCUUAUGCUCAUUACAACAUUUGCAUAUAACAAAUUACUUUAAAGUAAAGAAGAGCUUAUGCCCUUUUACAACAUUUGAUCAAAUCAAAUUACAACCAAAAUCUAAUCUACACAUUCCCAUGGUUCAAACAAAUUUGAAACGGCCUUUCACAUAGCUCAAUUAUAUUAGGCUUAGGUUCAUAAUCACCCUUUAAUUAAUUAACACUUUAACUAAUUAAAUUGAAUGCAACAUUUUCAUUUGGUUUUUGUAUCCAUAAAAUUGAUUUAAAUGGAGCUAAACAAAAUGAAAAUCCAAUUCUCAUUUAAAGAGACAAAACAAUUUUGUUCUCAAUCUAAUUUGGGCCAUCAUGCAAUAACCACAACUUAUUUGGGUCAUAAAGCAAUUAACCUCAACUUUUGGGCUAUAUUGCAAAACUUUUGGGGUCACUUUGUAAAGACACAAAAGUCCACUACUUCAUGUAAUUACAAUAGAACCCAAAAUUUAAUCAAUGCAAAAACUUCAUUAAAGGAUCAAAACAAUUUGUCCUUUAGCGUUUUUGGACCUAAACGUAAAAACGUAAACUUUUGGGCCAAAGUGCAAAUACACAAAAGUAUCAAAACUUUAUGUAAUUGCAUAAAAGGCCCCAAAAGUACCCCCACUAGGGGGUGGCCGGUUUUGGAAGAGGAUAUGAGUGAUGUGUGUGUUGAUUUGUGAGUUUUAGACAUAAAGCAACAAGUGGUGCAAGUGGUGUGUGUGAAAGGAAAUUAAUCCUUACACACCCAUCACCAUUUCCAUCACCCUUCAAAUAAAUAUCUUAUGCAAUAAAACAUUUGAAAAACAUAAAACAUAAACUUUAUGAAAUAAAUCAAAACUUUGAAUCAAAACACAAACCUUUUUGUUCUUGGCAAAAAUGUCAAGAACAAUGAAGAACCUUCAUGAAAAACCCAAAAUUUUUCCAUGAACUUUUUUCACCCAAAAACAUUCCAAAACCAUUCAAACUUUAGGGAAAUAACAUCUAACCAAACUAGGGUACAUAAGGGUUCCAAAAGUCACUUGAAAACACUUUUAACAAGUCAAACAAGAACCCAAAAUCCACCCUUUGUAUUUGGCCGAAAAUUCCCAAAGUCAUGGCACCAAAUUUUAGCUCCAAUAUUCAUGCUCAUAUGAACUACAUCUACAACAUUUGAGAUGGCAAAUUUUCUAGCAAAAUUUACAUUCAAAGAAACAAGAAUAAAGCUUGUAACAAUUACAACUUUUAAAUCACAAACUAUGAACUACAAAACCCAAAAGGAUUCACCAACUACUAGACCUAGGCUCUGAUACCACUUGAAGGAAGAUUUUGUGAAAACAUGUUCAUUUAAGCAACAUCAAUAUAGCAUGCAAUUAACAAUUAAAGGCGGAAUCAUGCUAGCAUGCACUUAAAAACAAAACAUUAACCAUGAAAUUCAAAGCCUAGUAGAUUGGUGAACCAAGAAUCAACUCAAAACAAAGUGAGUUGAAAUAUAUACCUUUGUAGAUUCCUCUUUGUAUUUAAACAAAGGCUAAUCACCCAAGAGAUAGGGCCUUCAUUCCUUGCAUCUUAGAUCCAUGGAAAUGGAUGGAUCUACACCAAGGAGAGCAUGGAUGAUAAAUGAGUGACCAUGGAAGAAUAGAUGGCUAGCUACAACUUCCAUGGUGGCCGGCUUUUCUAGAGAGAAAUGGAGAGACAAUUCUCACCAAUUUUCCCCAAAAACAAACCCUUAAUGAAUAAAAGGCUAUAAAGUCAUAUUUAUACCUUUAUUCAUUUGAGUGGCAAACUUGUAAUUAAAGCAAGUUCACUACCCUUUCUCUAUAUGGCCGGCCAUGGGGGGUUGUUUGGGCUUUUGGGUCUUAGUGAAUCAUUAUUCAUUAAGUUGUCAUACAACUUAAGUCAAUGGGCUUGACGUUCGAAGCCCAUUGGGCCUUAAGGUCCAAAACCUAUCCCGAGGUCUUUAACGAACUUAUUCGUUUGAUUAAUUAACAUAUUAAUUAAUCCUUGCCAUAAAUAAUUAAACUAUUCAAUUAUUCUUACUCAUUUAGUUUGUUUCAUCCAUCUCCACCUUAUACGGUGUACGAUCCAUUAGGUUCCUUUUAGCGAGGCAGUGGGCGAUCAAAACUCUUUCAAAUCGAUUAUGAAUUGAAACUUACUUUCAAUUCUCCCUUUAGUGAUAAUACACUUUUAGGGCUUCCACAAACCAUGAGUGACACCUAGCCGUAUGUCAUGGUUACCCAAACUAAUCAGAAGAGGUUAAGAACCUAUUCAGUUUAGGAUUACAAAUGCAAUACGGUCUUUCUCUAAUCUAAUACUCCUGACCACAUUGUUUGGUUUGAUAGUUUAUUUAUUCAUGUCUACUAUCCAAUGUGAUUCGUGUUCUUAUAUGAUUUCCUUGAAUGUGAUUUAGAACGACUUUUCUAAAUCUCAAUCAUACUCUGGCCAGAGAUUCUAAAUCAUAUCAUAGAGUAUUCUCCCUCAAACGGUUUGAAGGUUAGAGAUCCCUUGUUGCGCAUUCACUUGCCUCCAUGACUAAGUGGCUUAACCCCAACGAUGCCGUGGACACCCCGAUGGGGUGACAUUGACAUAAUCAAAGAUCAAGGACUUAACCACAAGACAACUGUGAUGCCUCAGGUCAAAGGACUAAUUUGCAUUAUCCCAAACAUGAGUUCUCAUGUGACAUGAGUAUGAGAACUCUUCGUUGAUCGUGUUCAGUGAACUCAUUCUCUACUGAGCACCUACGUACUUGUCUUGAUGUCACACACACACCAAUGACUCGAGACUAGUCACUCUCCCUGAGAGAAGACAUAGCACGUACCGAUCUUGACGGACUGUCAAUGCCCAAUUGGCAAUCCUAUGAUCAGGAACAUUUAGGAUGUGUCUACGAAAGAAUGGUCUCAUGAAUCUAACUUCAUUAGAUUACAUUCUUCCAAUCACAUAUUCCUUGGACUUUAUCGUUUAAGCAUAUAACAUUUAUAUGAGACGGCUCAAACAAUAAUCUUUGCCCUUUAUAUUAAACUAGAUUAGUUUAACAUGUGAAAUGUCCGUAAAGUAUCAUCAUAUGAUUGGUUUUAGGGCACAUUUCCAACACCUAUGCCAGCACUGUGGUCUCUGCGCUCAUAGCCAGAGAUUACCAUCUCCCGGCCCAAUGCCUGCUCCGUGUCCCUCAGCCCGUAGCUAGGGAUUAUUUCUCCCGGCCUAUCUUCCAACACCAGAUCCUCGCCCCAGGCGGCAUAGUGUCCAUUAGGUACACACAAAUAGUUACGCCUUUCAUAAAUAACCACUUCAUAGUAUAAAGUCAUCCAUCGUCUAUACUAUAAAGAGGGGUUUCUAAAACAUGUUCUAGCAUCCUAUUGUCAUCCAUCAGAUAGUCUACCAGUUCAUUGUUUUUAUAGAAAAUACGAUAUAUUAAAAUAUAGCUCAAUAUAGGCCAACAAUUAAUUCCUCACCAAAAACAAGACGAUAAACAACAUAUUUUAUAAACAUGCUUAACAUAAAAUCAGUUCAUAAGCUCGUAAGGCAUGCAUUUCAUUUAUGCAAUUAAACUAGGAAAUUAUGCAAAUUUUAGAAAGGGUCCACUCACAGAUACUCCGUAGCAGCAUAAUUGUGUGGAAAAGGAUUAAGGAAAUUCCCACUAGCAACUUCACCUAAGCACAAAAAUGUACAAUUUAUCAAACUACCCAACUAUAGAUUUUCAAGAAAUGGAAUUGGGUCUUGGGUUUGGAUCCGGAUUAAUGUUUAGGUUUAGGUUAAAUAGGGUUAGGACCUAUUGGUUUUUGGUUUUUGGAUAGGUUUAGGAAUAAAAAGGGUGGUGGUUUGGGCUUGAGCCCAAACCCACACAAUAUUCAUACACACGCCAGCACACAUACUCACAUGUAUGCACAGCACACAUACACACACCUGCACACACAUACACACACACACUUACACCACACACUCACACACCACACACACACGCACUGACACACACAUACACACUACACACAUACACACGGCCCAACACACACACACACACACACACACACACACUACACACACACGCAUGGCCCAACACACACACACACACACACUAACUGAGCCCAAACAAGGUACGGCCCGCAGGCCAAAUAACCAAAAAGAAAAUGGGUUGGUCCAAAUACAGGUUAAGGCCCGUGGGUGUUUUGAGAAGGCCUAGUGGCCUGUGGGGUGUUGGGGAAGGACACCGGAUAGCUUGAUCGGAAUUCGUCCCGAUUCUGAUUUGCACCUACAACUAAGUAAAAAUAGGAAGUUAAAUCAUAAAAAUGAUUCUGAUAGAUAAGGGAAGCAAGAUUUUACCACAAAUAGACUCAAAUAGGGUCGAGAUUCGUCGGUUUGUGUACGAGCUUCGACUGAUUUUCUCGCCGGAUUCUGGGGUUUAGAACACAGAAAAACCAUAAGGUUCAAACUUUGAUUUCACACGGAGUCAUAAAACCAACAUGCAAACCCAGAAAUUUAUUAGAAAAUAGGGAAGAAUGCUUAGUUAAGGUUUGGGUGUAUGGGAUUGAAAAUUUUGUUUUUAGUGUUGGUUAAGUUUGUUUUUGCUUACUGAUGUGAAUCUAUAUGAAGGCUAUGUUUACAAACAAAACUAUAGUGUUGUCAUGAAAAGGUUUUGUAUCUCAUUUUCUUUUACAAAGUUGAAAAAUAGUGGAGACUACCUUAGUGUGAUAUUUUGAGCCUAUCUACUUCUUUGAGAGGGUUUAAAGUGUUUCUGCUCCUAUCUUUUUCUUUCAAUUUCACUUUAAAUGAUCUCAUUAUUUCUGUUUGAUUGAAUGCUUAGAAUUAUUCUCUUUUAUAGAUACCAUGUUUUUGGAAUCACUCAUGAAUGAACUCAAUGAGAUGAUAUUAGGCUAUGCAUGUUUUAACCACUUAAAGGUCAAAUUCCCUACCUUUAUGUGUGUGCUAUUACCCCGUUUUGAAGCCAAACACUUUUAGCCUUUUUCUUUUCUCACCACUAUAUUUCCCUACCCUUUCUUUCAAUUAGAGAUACUUAGCCCAUUACAGCCAUACCCUAUAGUUUGGGGAAUACCAUAGUGAUGAAGACAAAGAUAAUGAUUAAGCUCUACAUCAAGAAAAUGGCGUGUACCGAGGUAACAUAUGCUGGAAUUGCAAAAUAAAAGAAGUUCCAAAAUAAAAAGAGAAUUAGAAAAAAAAAAUAGAUGAUCAAAGAAAAUGCAAUUUCCAAGUCCUUUCACUAUCGUACAUGGGUCCUGGACGCCAAGAACAAACAACUAAGGUCAAUUGAAGAGGAGAGCUUGCUGGUUUCAUAAGGAAGACACUUUAGUAUGUUCCAAGCUUUAGUAUUUCCUAUCCCUUUUUUUCAUAGCCCCUCGCCUAAGCCUUAUAUUACAACUGUGUGAAAGGCCUAGCUAAUGUUUGAGGAUGUAUUCAUGGGUAAUGGUAAGUAUUUGUGUUAUCCAUAUUCUUAGUGUUUGAUUCAUUUCAUGAGAUCUGUUCAGAAAUUAUGCUUUCAUUUCAUAUUUCAUAUGUGAGAAUUUUGAUUCCCCUUUACAUAAUUUCACUCACAUAAGUUUGUCAAGAGACUACACCUUAGGAUCUGAGUGAAAAUUUAAGUAAUAUCAUUGAUGAAUAGAGUUGAGGCGAAUUCUAUCUUUAGCAUUUGAGUAUUGUGUCUUUAAAGUCAUGAGUCAUGGAAUAAUAUUUUUACACUUUACACAUGAUACGAUUGUUUGAACUGGCAAACUUUUGGUUUGAAUGUAUGACUAAGCUUUCAUUGGUUCUUAUUAGUUUGUUUCAAGUAUGCUUUAACCAAUUUGUUUGUAGAGUUUGUAGAUGUUUGUGGGUGUCAUCACUAUAAACCCUCAAGAGACACAACUCCUCCAACUAAGGACACCUAGAAGUUUAAAGGCUUGUUGCACAUGCUCAGUACAAUCAUUUAGCCAGCGAAAGUGGUAUAGUUAGAUUUUAUUAUUUUUGUGUGUUUUUUGUUAUAGUUUUGCUCGACGACUAGCAAAAACCAGGUUUAGGGGUCUUUGACAACUCAUAUAUUUCAUGCAUUUAUACCAUCUAUUUCUAGUCUCUUUGUUAUAUUUUUGAGUUAAACUGGUUGCAUUUUACCCUAUUUUGUGUUAGUGUGCAGUUACAUGUACUUUAGGAGGGCAAAAGAAGUGAAAACAUGCCCUUUUUGUUGCUGAUCCUUAUUCAAACGUGGAGAAGUUUAGUGGCCUGUUUUGGAGCUCAAAUAAAGUUGUUACUUGUUUUGAAGUCCAAAUAAAGAAUCCAAGAUGAAUCUGGCUUGUUAGAAGAUCAGGAACAGAAUGGGAAACGAAUUGGGAUAUCUAGCCUAAUUUGGAGGGGCCAAAUAAGGCAAAAAAGUGCAAAAUAAAGGCUAAGUUGUUGUGAUCACUUUGGAAUAUCUUCCAGCCUUUUUUACCCCAUAAAAUCUUGCCUUUUAGCCACUUUUACAUACCCUUUUUAUUCUAGGCGAAUUACAUAAUUAUGAUUACCUAUUUUCCCUUUCUUUUCAUUCACUCUUAAGAAAACCCUAGUCGUUCUAUACAAUUUCACCACUAUUGAAGACUCAUCGCAAAAGGUUGUUCAUGGAGAAGUUCUACAUCAAAAUUGCUUCAAGGGUUUCCUCUCCUGAAUUUAUUUUCACUCAUGUUUUGUAUUUUCGUUUUCAUUUCUACGAACAUGAUGUGUAACUAAGUUCAUAGCUACGGAUUUUGAUGUAGCCAUGCAAAAUUGAUCCAUGUUUUUAAGUUAAAGUAUUUGGUUCAUCAAUCUGCUUCUUGUUUCAUUCACUGAAUCUAUUGUUAAAUUUGCUUGUUGAUUUUAAUGUUUGAUCACCAUUAGGGUUAACUACAUAUCAUUUAAUCAAAUAUUAUAGUAAACAUCAUGCUUAAUCUUGGCAGACAUGUGAAUGAAUGAAGAGAAUGCUAUUCAAACAUCCUACCAUGUAUUUUCUUUGGUUCUUAAUGUUUUCUUGCAUGCUAAAGACUCUUAAUUAGGAACCAAAGUUGAACAUCCCAAUUAGGUUGCAAAUUAGGAGAAUUUGAUCAAAACCACACAUCAUAUGGCUGAUCAUAUAUAUGUAAAAUGAACUCAGGAAACAGGUUGGUAGUUGAAUACGGCAUAUCUUUAUAAACAUGGAAUUGGUUUUGUAAUGGUGAAUUCAAAUCCGUGGCCUCAUCUCCAUUGCUUCUACAUCAAUAUAUUAUUCGCUGCUACAUUCUUGCAUUUUAAUUUAAUUAAGUUUACAACAUAAAAACUACUCUCAAUUGGUUACUUUCAUUCUUUAGUUAGGGUUCUUUCAAAGUUAGUAAUUUAUAGAGGUCCAGUCAGUCCCUGUGGUUUAACACCCUUACUCGUGCCAUUAUGCUAACCAUAUUUUUGCACUAGGAAGGAACACAACAAUCAUUUGAAUUCUCAUAAAGAUGUAAAUGAAUUUUUUGUUUACUAGGUUCACAAAAGAUUAGUUGGAGUUAAUCAUAUUCCUAAAUUUGAACAUAUAUAUGAUAUAUUAAUUUUGGAAAUGAAAGGAAUUCUUCUUUGUUAAAGUUAUGACUUUAAACAUUCUAUAAUGAUAGAAUGUAUAUGGGAGACAUAGUACAUGGGAUGGAAAUCUAUAAUGAUAGAUUUCAAUAUAUAAUUAGAUUAUCUUAAUCCCUAUUGAUAGACGAUAGAUGUAGGAAGUUUCUAGAAUGACAAACUUCAAAUGAAAAGCCAAUUCCAAUCAGAUUGGGAAAUUGCUCUUCUAAAAGGGAAUGUACCCUUUUGACUCCCAAAGAAGCAUAAUGCGUAAAUAGGAUCCUUUAUGCAUACACAGAAAGGUGAUUUCGUAUUUCAUAUUGUACGAAAAACGUUGAUAUGAGUUGUACCAAUAUUGGUCCAAGACGAUAUCAAUGCAAGCCUAGGAUCAGAACCAUAGCAAUUGUCAAGUCAGUCCUUAAGUAUUUAAGAAAUACUUAAGGAUAGAUUCCUUAAGAAUGAGGAAGAAUUAGAGUAACGCAAUGGAAGUGUAAAUGUAUUAGAUUAAGAAUCUACUAUCGUAUCCAUUAUUGGAUGUCUCUUCAUUAUGAAUGAAUAGAUAAUUGGAUAUCUCUUUAUUAUGACUAAAGAGAUAUUUGGGUGGAAACGUUAUAAGUAAUGACUUUAGUGUGUUCCAUCAUGCAUGCAAAAUAUAUCUCCAUAGAGAAGCUUACAACAAUGUUGUUUGAUUGGGAAAGUUCAUUUAUGAACUCUCCAAUCGAUUCCAACCAAAAAGUGUCUUUAUGUACCCACACUACGACACUAAUGGGGCAAUAGCUCAAGCCAGGGAAUCAAGGUCUCAUCAAGAUCCAAACUCAAAUGAUAGACUGACCACAUGAUUGAGAAUCAUGUAUAAUGGUGACAUCAUUAUUCUCAAGGUUGCUUCUAUGAAUAACAUAUAGAUAUCCAUUGUCUAGGCCUACUACUCAGCCAUUUUUUAAAUGAAUUCAGAAGAGGUAUCAUCACUAAUGCCAAGCUGAUUGGCUCUAGUGCAAGUAGGAGAUUGUUGGAAAUGUGCCCUAAAGCCAAUCAUAUGACGAUACUUUACGAACAUUUCACAUGUUAAACUAAUCUAGUUUAAUAUAAAGAGCAAAGAUUAUUGUUUAAAGCCGUCUCAUAUAAAUGUUAUAUGCUUAAAUGAUAAGCCCAAGGAAUAUGUAAUUGGGAGAAUGUGAUCUAAAAAAGUUAGAUUCAUGAGACCAUUCUAUUUCGUAUACAUAUCCCAAACGUUCAUCAUCAUAGGAUUGCUAAUCGGGCAUUGACAGUCCGUUAAGAUCAGUACGUGCUAUGUCUUCUCCUAGAGAGAGUGACUGGUCAUGAGUCAUUGGUGUGUGAUGUGGUAUAAACUAACACACAAAUUAAAUCCUAUAAUUUAGAUGAUUGUAGUAUGAUCAAGUAGGGAUCGUUCUAGGCCGAGGAUUAGAAGGGAUGCUAAUCAACACAAAUGAAACUUAUAAAACUGAAAACUAAGUUAAACUAACAUUAAAGCAAUGACUAGGGGAAUUUUGGACGAAUUUAAUGAAAACAAAAGUAAAUGGUAGAAAGUACAUUAAGUUGUGAAUGAAAUAUGGGUGAGAGGAUAACUAGAGGAUUCUUCUCCACACAUGAAACAUAUGCAUGCAAAUCGAUUUUCAAUUAUUCUUCCUAUAAACCAUGAAUGACAAUGCCCCAAAUUAACCGUGAACAUCACUAAUUAAUUCUCAAGUUCCCUAACUAUGAAAAGCAUAAUAGUGAUACAUCUCAAAGAUCAUUAAGUUCUGUGAAAAUCAUAAGCAUUGACAAGGCAUUCGUAACUAUGAAAAAGCAUGAUACUCCUGCCAUGGAUUUACUUAACUCAAUCAUGACUAGUGACUUUAACUACUUAUAAAUAUAAGUUCAUAACGAUUAGGUGAAAUUCCCUUAUAUUCUAGCAUCAAAUCCCUGCAUGCAAACUAAGUAUUCAUUUUUAAUACACAUACAAGAAUAAGUUCUCUAUAAAAUAGAUAAGUAAAUUGCAUUCAUGUUUUACGAAACAAUAACUGGAUGUAAUCAAUUCAUAUAAAACAUAUCAUCAUGGCUUCGAAUUCACCUCUAGCUAAAAACAAACUUAGUUACACAUGUUCAUCAUAAUUAAAAAGUAAUCUAAAAGAAACAUUGAAACUUAAAAUAAAAGAUAGAAUGAACCCAGAAAACUCCAGCAACUUCAAUGAAUGAUUGUAGGUUACAAUACACUCCCCUCCUUCCUUGCAAGCACAAAUCACUCUUUUCCUCUCAGAAACUUGUGGCACUCUCUGUAUUUUUCUCCUCCUCCCUGAAAGUUGCGACAAUAAGUAGUAUUUAUAAGUACGGGCACGACACAAUUUGUGGAGGAAAAGGAUUAGGUUGUUUGCAUUGUUUUAGGACUCCUUAAAUCAGAUAGAAAGUGGUUUAAUGUGAUAAGGAAUCUCCCUUACAGCUGGAGAUAAGGUAAAGUAGGAUUAGGAUAUGAUAAGAUAAGGUUUGUUAAGGAUAAGGUUGGAUAAGAUAAGAUUGGAUAAGGUUUCCCUUUAAUUUCUGAUUCCUUGUCUUCCAAGCCUCAAUCCUAAUUCUUCCAUAUUGUAGCACAUUCCUAGCCUCAUUUGACCCCCAAAAAUGUCCAUCCCAAGUGCUCCCCAUGCAUGCUAUCCAAUCCAAGUCCAAAACUACUCCAAAUUGCUCCAUUUUGCCCUUUGUUGUCACCUUUGCCAAUUGGACCUACAAACACACGAAAAUAGCUUAAAUCACUAUAAUAAAUAGAAACUAACUAAGUAAAUGCAAAGAAAUAAGCUAACAAAGUCGCAUAAAUAUGCUCCUAUCAAAUUCCCCCACACUUAGCUUUUGCUAGUCCUUGAGCAAAACAAAGAAAACAAAACAAAACCUAAACCUUCCAACAUUUGUCUCAGGGAUUUCCUAUGAAACAUGACAUAUUAAAAAUCACUACUCUCAUAGAUUUUAGCCAUCCUUACUCUUGAGCUUAUACUUAACCAUAGUAACCACUCACUAGCUCGCAUUUAAUCAAUUAAAACAACAUUUGAAAGUAGUAACACGCCUUAGAGAUUUCACUCAAUUCCUCACCAGAUAUACUCUCUAUUUUCACAUAGAUUUUCUGACUACACUCCCUAUACUAAGUAUAUGUGAGAAGAUUGAUGUAAAUAUGUAGACUAGAACUCACAUAUGUUAAAAAUAAGAAGGCACUUUCUGGAAUUAUUAAUACAAACAUGUAUAUGAUCUCAUGAACGGAAUGCCACUACUUAGAAGUGAGAACCAAGGAUUCCAUAUGCUUCUACCAAUUUCAAACUCCACAUAUUGAAACACAUAACAACCAAGAUAAAAGUCUAGGGUUGUAAUGGGGCUAAGGUAUUGGCUAACAAAGAAAGGUUAAGGAUAAAUAAGGGUUCUUGAAGUGUUAGUAAGCAAAGUAAUGAAAUCAACACUUAGAAUUUAACUUUUGAUUGCAACAUCCAACUUUAAACACAAAGGGAAGAUUCGUACAACAUUCAAGGUCAAAUUCACAUUUUUGGACCCCUCUUCAACAACCAACACUUAUGAACUCAUUCUCACUUCUUUUCAACCUCUUUUUUUUUCUUUUCUCAACUUUUGUUCUUCGUUUUUUCUUCUUCUACGUUUCUCUCUUUUUUUUUUUUUUUUCACUUCCACUUUUCUUUGAAACAUAAAACAUACACACUACUUCACUAGAUUCAAAAGAACAAAUCCUUCCCCCACGCUUAUUUUUCUACAAAUCGUCAAAAGGAAUUCCCAAUAAGUCAUGCUCCACUAUUCUUUAAGAAUAAAGGUAUGGAUAUUCCUAUACUAGGCUAGGUAGGGAUAAUGCAUGCUAAUAAAGAAAAUAGAAUAAAUAAGGCUCAAAGGGGUUAAACCUACAAUACAUAUGCAAGGGAUAAGGCUUUUUGGCUCUGGUGGUAACUAAGCAACUUCAUCUUGUUAUUUUUUAUGCAAUCAAUUUUAUGCUUUGAAUGAAAUGGGCAUGUGUAACAUCCCACAUCGCCCAGGGGAGUGAUCCUUAAAUGUAUAUUCCCAUCCCUACCUAGCACGAGGCCUUUUGGGAGCUCACUGGCUUCGGAUUCCGUAGGAACUCCGAAGAUAAGCGAGAAAGAGGCCAGAGCAAUCCCAUGAUGGGUGAACUAUUGGGAAGUUGCUCGUGAGUUCCCAAAAACAAAACCGUGAGGGCGUGGUCGGGGCCCAAAGCGGACAAUAUCGUGGUACGGUAGUGGAGAGGGCCCGGGAAGUGAUCCGUCCCGGGCCAGGAUGUGACAGCAUGAGUUCUAGUAUUUGGAACUAAAAUGAUGAAAAAGCAUCCUAAGUAGCAACCAAGCAAAGAAAUAAUGAGAUCAUGCAACAACUUUAGAAAACAAGAAUAUCACAGAUUAAUAACUCUCCAAACAAAGAAUAGGCUCAAGUCUCACAGGGUUGUAGCGUUAGUUUGAGUUUCUUCCUUCAAGCAUGUUACAAAAACUAAUUUUUUUUCUUUGUGAGUGCUUGUGAAUUCGUAAAUGACAACUACAACUAAGUAUUAACCAAAGUGCAUAUCAAACUUCCACCCAUGUUUGUAACUUUCUUUAACAGUCAUGCAAUUAAAACCAAAUCCCCAUCAUUGUGUUGGAAUGUACCCUAAGACACAAACAAGCAACAAAAAUGACUCUUUUUGGUAUUUUCUCAAACAAUUUUGAAAUUUUUUGUUUCUUUUCAAAAUUUUGUUUUUAUGACACACAGUAAACACUUUAAAAUAGUGAAUAACAACAUUAGUAGUGAUAGGUGGUGAAAUUCGCUGAGAAAUCAUGAAAAGCAUUAUGUUUACCCCCUCCCCCCACACUUAAACCAAACAUUGUCCUCAAUGUUUCAAAAAUAAACUUAAACAAGAACGCAAUAUAAAGAUAACUAGCAAACAAGACAAUCAUGGCAAAGUAAAAACAAUAAAGAGAAGGGUAAAAGAGAGCAAAUCUGGUUGCAGGAGCCGGAAAUUCCAUUGUCUUUUUAUUUGAACACAUGGGUUGCCUCCCAAGAAGCCCUUGCUUUAACAUCUUCUAGCCAGACGAUACCUCCAUUUAAGCUUCACUAGGACCAACGGCAUGGAGAGGUACAUCCUCCACGACAUGCUCCUUAAAACUUCCAUGCAUUGGAUCUAUGAACGGAAGGGGAUAGUGAUCCUUCUUGAUUGUGGCGUUGAGCUUCCUAAAGUCAAUGUAAACUCUCCCAUCAGCUUGGAUUCAAUUGGGCACCUGAACCAAAGAAGGUAACAACCUAUUAGUUGAAAUGGGAAUUGGAAUUGGAAUAGGUGGCUCACCGAUGUACUGCAAUGAAGACUCAAAAGUAGCAGCACUAUCAACAAUUUCAGAGGUGGUGCUCUCAGCCUUGGGUGCUUUGAGGGCAGUGCCUUGUCCCGUGUGAUCCACUCCAAUUCCCUUUUCAAUGGUGGUUUUAAAUACAUCUUUCUUUAUAGGCGUUGAACAUUCCUACCCUAUUUUUUUAAUCACAUUAAUGGCAAAACAAGAACGAACAUCAUUAGGAUACUUAACAGAUUCAGAAACAUUAAAAUUAAUCACAUUGCCAUCAAAUUCCAUAGUUAACACUCCCUUGGACACAUCAAUCUUAGUUUGCCCUGUUUUCAUGAAAGGUCUUCCAAGUAAGAUUGGUAAUGGUGUAGGGUGGGUGGAAUCGUCCCUCUCAAGAACAUAAAAAUCUACUAGAAAAAUCAAAUGGCCUACCUGCACCAAAACUCCUUUCAGAUAUGCAUUAGAUCGAUCAGCCAAUUGAAUAAUGACACCACCAUUUUUAAGCUCUCCUAGAUUCAUAGAUUCAUAAACGGAAUAUGGCAUGACAUUAACGGAAGCACCUAAAUCUAGCAUAGCAUGUUCAAACCUUGUAUUACCAAAACACAGGGGAUAGUGAAACUACCUGGAUCUUUGCAUUUAGGUGGCAGUUUUCUUUGCAAAACUGCAGAGACAUUUUCACUUACAUGUACCACCUCCUUCUCGGGAAUCCAUUUCUUUGUUGUACAAAGCUUCUUAAAAAACUUAGCAUACUUCGGAACUUGUUUUAUUGCAUCAAGAAGCACGAUAUUAACUUAUACCUUUAUGAAGGUUUCUAAGAUGUCUUUUUCACUUUCUUCUUCUUUGAUUGCAUAAACUUGCAAGGGAAAUGCACAUUUGGUGGAAUAGGGUUAGAAGGAAUUGAAUUCGGAUCAACCUUACCUAAAUUGGGUGGCGUAGAAGCCUUAGGAGUCUGCGGCAAGGAUUUUUCUUCCCUUGCCGUGGCCUUGUCCACCUCUUCUUCUUCGGGCAGCAGAUGUUCGUCCUCUUUUUGGCUUUGUUUGGACGUUUUUGGAUUGGUUCCAAUCUCUUUGCCACUUCUCAAGGUAAUAGCCUUAACAGUUUCAAAACCUCCCUUUGGAUUUACAAUGGUUGAACUAGAAAGCUUGCCUUGUUCCCUAAAUUGUCCCAUGAAUUAUGCCAUCUACCCCAUUUGAUUCUUCAUUUCGCCCAUCUCUUUGGCUUGAUUUUGUAAACCCUGAGUUAAAAAAGUUAGUGCUUGAAGAAUUUUUUCAUUAUCCAUUGACGAACCUGACUUUGGUUGGGAUUGUUGUCAGGAAGAUUGUGGUAUCUGCAUAGGUCUUGAAUAAAACUCCUCAGGUUGCUACCAAUAUCCUUCUUGUUGAACUUGUUGAGGUUCCCUCCACAUAAAAUUUGAAUGAUCUCUCCCACCUGGGUUGUAAGUGUUGGAAAACAAAUCGUUCUUUGGUUGAUUAUGGCCUUGAUAACCCCAAGCAUUGACACCAUCCCAACCUCCAUUCUCAAUUAAUUGAGGAUGUUGAUUAGUUUGAUACCCUUACCUAGAGGACACACCAAAUGUAGCCACACUUUGCAUUGUAGUUCUUUCGAUAUAUUGUGACAAAAGAGAAGUAACAUUCGCCAUUUGAGCUUGAAGAUUAGCAAUUGCCAUGUCUUGCUUCUCUAGUGCCUGAAAUCAAAGAAAUGAAACUAAAUCAAAUAUCAAAAGAAAAAUAAACAAAAAAUAGAGGGAUUAGCAAUUUUACUAAUCCCCGGCAAUGGCGACAAAAUUUAAUGUGGUAUAAACAAACACACAAAUUAAACCCUAUAAUUUAGAUGAUUGUAGAAUGAGCAAGUAGGGAUCGUUCUAGGCCAGGGAUUAGAAGGGAUGCUAAUCAACACGAAUUAAACUUCUAAAACUGGAAACUAAGUUAAACUAGCAACAAAACAAUGAUUGGGGGAAUUUUGGACGAAUUUAAUGAAAACAAAAGUAAAUGGUAGCAAGUAAAUUAAGUUGUGAAUGAAACAUGGGUGAAAGGAUAGCUAGAGGAUUCUUCUCCACACAUGAAACAUAUGCAUACAAAUCGAUUUUCAGUUAUUCUUACUAUAAACCAUGAAUGACAAUGGCCCAAAUUAACCGUGAACAUCAUUAAUUAAUUCUCAGAUAUUCCUAAGUACAUUGAAUUGGACUCAGUGAAGCAACCAAAUUAUUCUUCUCAAGUUCCCUAACUAUGAAAAGCAUGAUAGAGAUACAUCUCAAAGAUCAUUAAGUUCUGUGAAAAUCAUAAGCAUUGACAAGACAUUCGUAACUGUGAAAAGCAUGAUACUCCUGCCAUGUAUUUACUUAACUCAAUCAUGACUAGUGACUUUACUACUUAUAAAUAUAAGUUCAUAACGAUUAGGUGAAAUUCCCUUAUAUUCUAACAUCAAAUCCCUGCAUGCAAACUAAGUAUGCAUCCUUAAUAAACAUACAAGAAUAAGUUCUCUAUAAAACAGAUAAGUAAAUCGCAUUCAUGUUUUACAAAACAAUAACUGGAUAUAAUCAAUUCAUAUAAGGUUUAAUGUGAUAAGGAAUCCCCCUUCCAGCUGGAGAUAAGGUAAAGUAGGAUUAAGAUAGGAUAAUAUAAGGUUUGUUAAGGAUAAGGUUGGAUAAGAUAAGAUUGGAUAAGGUUUCCCUUUAAUUUAUGAUUCCUUGUCUUCCAAGCCUCAAUCCUAAUUCUUUCAGAUUGUAACACAUUCCUAGCCUCAUUUGACCACCAAAAACGUCCAUCCCAAGUGCUCCCCAUACAUGUUAUCCAAUCCAAGUCUAAAACUGCUCCAAAUUGCUCCAUUUUUCCCUUUUUGUCACCUUUGCCAAUUGGACCUACAAACACAUGAAAAUAGCUUAAAUCACUUUAAUAAAUAGAAACUAACUAAGUAAAUGCAAAGAAAUAAGCUAACAAAGUCACAUAAAUAUGCUUCUAUCAGUGUGACUGACACCAAGACAAGCAUAUAGGUGCUUAAUAGAGAAUGAGUCCACUAAACGAGAUCAACAAGGAUUUCUCGUACUCAUUUCACAUGAAAUUCAUGGUUGGAAUAAUGCAAAGUAGUCAUUUGACCCGAGUCAUCAUAGUUGUCUUAUGGUUAGGUCCUUGAUCUUUGACUAUGUCAAAGUCACUCCGUCAAAGGGUGUCCACAACAUAGUUGGGGUUAAGCCACUUAACCAUGGAGGCAAGUGAAUGCACAACAUGGGAUCUCUAACCUUCAAACUGUUUAAGGGAGAAUACUCUAUGAAAUGAUUAAGAAUCUCUGGCAAGAGUAUGAAUGAGAUUUAAGAAUUCAUUCCAAAUCACGUUCAAGGUAAUCAUAUAAGUAAGAGAAUCACAUUGGAUAGUAGACAUGAAUAAACUAUCAAAUCAAACAAUGUGGUCAAGUGUAUUGUAUUAGAGAAAGACCGUAUUGCAUUGUAAUCCCAAACUGAAUAGGUUUUCCACCUCUUCUAAUUAGCUUGGGUAGCCAUGACAUACUGCUAGGUGUCACUCAUGGUUUGUGGAAGCCAUAAAGGUGUAUAAUCACUAAAGGGAGAAUUGAAAAGUAAGUUUCAAUUCACAAUCGAUUUGAAGAGUUCUAAUUUCCCACUGCCUCGCUAAAAAGAACCUAAUGGAUCAUACACCGUGUAAGGUAGAGAUUGAAGAAACACCAGAGAUGAGUAAUGAUAAUUAAAUGGUUUAAUUAUUUAUGGCUAUGAUUAAUUAAUAUGUUAAUUAAUAAAAUGAAUAAGUUCGUUUUAGACCUCAGGUUAGUUUUGGGCCCCAAGGUCCAAUGGUAUUCGAAUGUCAAGUCCAAUAACUUAAGUUGUAUGACAACUUGGAAACACAAAGGGCAUGAAAGCCCAAUGAACCCACAUUGCCGGCCAUAGAGAGUGUGAGGGAGAAUUGGUUUUAAUUUCAAUUAUGCCACUCAAUCUAAGUGGCUAUAGGAAGGAAAUUAUAACCCAUUCCCUCAUAAGGGUUCUAGAGAGAAAAGAGAAAAAAACCAAAAGCUCUCUCUUCUCUUAGGAGGCCGGCCACCCUAGGAAGAAUGGACUAGCAUCCAUUUCUUCCUAGGUCAUUCAUCUCUUCCUCAAUGAUCUCUUUGGUGUGGAAACUUAGAGGUUCCCUUUCUUGGAAACUUGGAGAAUCCACUCCUUCAUCCGUAUCCAAGAAGUCAUGGAGCCAAGAAUCAAAAUUCCUCCAUCGACAUCCAUGGAGCCAAGGAGCAAGGAGACUAGAGAAAGAAGACCCUCACAUGGGUGAAUACCCUUUGCUAAACAAAGAGGUGCUUCAAAGGUAUAAAAGUUUCUCAACUCUUUUCUUUAAGAUUGAUAUGAGUCUUGGUUCACCACAACUACUAGGCCUUGAAUUUCAUGGGUAAAGUUUUGUUUUUAAGUGUAUACAAGCAUGAUUCCGCCUUUAAUUAUUAAUUGCAUGCAUAGAUGUUGCUCAAAUGAACUUGUUUUCACAAAUUAUUCCUUCAUACAUCUGGUCAUGUAGCAGUUAGGUAUAACAAACUACCUACAAGCUUUAUAUAUUCACUUUCAUUUGCUCCUUCAUUGCCAUCAACCUUGCACAACUUUUCACUCACUGCAAGUGGUGUUCCCCCAAACUUGCAAUCUUUCAUUCCAAACCACUUAAUAAGCUUCAUUGCAUUUUUUUUUUUAUGUAUAAAGAUGUUUUUCUCUGUUUGUAUAACCCCUAUGCCAAGGAAGUGAUGAAGCAGUCCCAAAUCAGUCAUCUCAUAGUGCCUCAUCAUGUCACUUUUGAAUUCUUCAAGCAAUUUUGGACAACUUCCAGUGUAUAUAAUAUCAUCAACAUAAAGUGAGACAAUAAUAAUACCUAAGCAUUCACUAGUCUUGACAUAGAGUGUUGCUUCACUUGAACUCUUCUUGAAACCUGCAUUGUUGAAAUAUGAGUCUAUCUUAUCAUACCAGGCUCUUGGAGCCUGCUUCAACCUAUACAAUGCUUUAUUCAACUUAUACACCUUGGUUUCCUCAUUUUCCUUCACAAAUCCUUGUGGCUGCUCUACAUAAACCUCUUCAUUCAAAACUCCAAAUAAGAACAACAGAUUUUACAUCCAGUAGAUAUAGGUUCCAUUCCUUCUAUGCAGCAAGUGCUAUCAAGGUUCUAAUAGUGUCUAACCUUGCUAAUGGGGAAAUGUUUAAUUUUAGUCUAUCCCAUACUUUUGGGAGUAGCCCUUUGCCACCAGUCUAGCCUUGUUCUUUUUCACAAAUCCAUCCAGAUUCAACUUAGUUUUAUAGACCCAUUUAACACCAAUAAUUGGCUUGUCAAAUGGUCUGUUAACUAGUUACCAUGUGUUGUUUUUCUCAAUCAUUUCCAGCUUAUAUUUCAUUGCACACUUCCAUGACUCAUCUAAAGCCGUUUCUUCAUAACUUUCUGGCUCUACAAUGCACAUGUUGCACUGUGCCAUGAUCUUAUUGGUACUCUUCCAUUUCUAUGGUAUGUGGUCGAUUGUUUGAGAGCCUCCAAAAUUACUCUCACUCAGUGGAUUAACAACUUCAUUCACUUGAGAUGAUGUGUCCAAGGAUUGACUUGGCUCACAAUUCUCAAUCUACUUUUGACCAUCAUUACAAUUUAUCAUUUGAUACACAACAACCAUAGGAACUCUCAUUUCACUUUUCUAUGUGUGUUCCCACUCUAUGAGACAUCUUCAUCAAAAGUAACAUAUCUAGAUAGGAUAAUCUUUCUUGAAAUUGGAUCAAACAACCUGUACCAUUUCUCACAAGUUCCAUAGCCCACAAAAUUGUAUUUGUGACUAUUUUCCUCAAGCUUAUGCCUUAAUGUUGAAUGGAUGUGCACAUAGCACAACGAUCCAAAGAUUCUUAGGUGUACAAUACUUGGCUUUCUGGCAUUGUAUGCCUCAAAUCAAGUCAUCUUCUUUAAGGAUGAUACGGAUUUUUACCACUUGCAAAAGUAGGGAUAAAACACUUAAAAAUACUUGCAAGAGAACAAGGUAGUUGUAGUAUAAAAUGCUCAAGCAAGGUCACUUUCCGUAGGGAUUGAAUGAAUGAUUUAUGUUAAAAUCAAAUCUUAAUUAAUUAUUUGAAAACAAAAUUUGGAAGAGGUUGAUUUUAUGUGACACACCCUGAUCCGGAGGAUCCAGGUGUGCUGGCCGUCACGUGGGCGUGACGUAACCAUAAGCACGACACGGAAGCGUAAUAACAACAUAUAACAACAGAAAUUCAAACCGAACUCAACAUAACCACAUACGGACAUAACCGGACGAGUUUACAAGUAAACACAUAAGUUCAGAGCAUAGGUUAUCUGCAGUCAAGUAGGACUAAAAUAAGAAUACAUCACCCUCAGGUGAGUCCUACAUGUCCCAAAUCUGUCAGAAAGCCGGAAAGGACCUCGUGAGCCAACCACCGUUAAACUAGAACCUGGAGGGGCGCAAAACAAAAUGAGUGGGUCAGUAAAACAAAUUAGUUUUCCAAAACAUUUCAUUAAAACAGUUAUAUCCCCUCGCCGUAAAAACCUGUAUACUUUCCCAAAAAUUAUAUAACCAUAUAAAAUCUCAACAUUUAAAUCUCAAAUCUUUAACAUUUUCAAGAAAACAUGCCAUGCCAUAAAUCAAAAUAUAAAUCAGGUGAAAUAAGGAAUCAAUCGGAGACCCUGCAGUUGGUCCUAUACGAUUAAUUCAAUAGCUCAAUAUCUCACUAAGCCGGAGUCACCACAGUGACCUAUACGGCCCUACUCUGCACAUCACUCGGAACUACGUAAGGUAGUCUAUACGAUGAAAGGUGUAAAAAUACGCUCUAGUGCUUCUCUCAUCAUAUCAUCAGCGCGCAUAACUAAGGUCACCCACUAGUCGGAAUCACGCCUAGUGAUCUGUACGACUAGCAUGUCGGAACCCUCACAUGGUCUGUACGACAUCCACCUACUUGGAUCCAAGGCGAGCGUGCGGUGUGGUGAAUAAUAUAAGCACUAACACCUAGGGUGCAGAUUAUGAGCUCAACACAUCUCAACAACAACAAUUCAAUGAAUAAAUGAACUCACCUGACUUACCUGUGCCUCCACAGCACCAUGCAACAUGUAUGCAUCAUAUAUCAAUCAUAUAACUCAUGUGAAAUUCACCUUUUCCAAAUAAUUCUAUGCAUGGCAUUUUAAAAACGUUUUCUCAUAUAAAUGCAUUUUCUGGGAAAACAAUAGCAUAUAGGUAAUACGAAAACAAAACUGCCCACUCACUGAUAAGUCGACGGGUCGUAACCCCCGUGGCGUCCCUGGAUGCGGUCGUCCUCGGGAUACGUCUCACCUAUAUGCGAAACAACUAUAAAAUCAUUAAUUUUAAGCAUAUCACCAAUAAUUCGAAAUAACUUCUCAUACGAUGCUCAAUUUUGGUAUAUGAAUAUACCACAUCGACCUACUCGACGUCACGAGCGUCGAGAAAUUUUCAGAAAAAAUUUUGGAAGCCCCACGCGCCCCCACGCGCCACACGUGGCACGGGUCCACGCGCUGGCCACGCGCAGCACGUGCAGCGCACAUGUCGUCUUCUUCGCAGGGCCUCGCCGGACUGGUUCUCCGGUGGCCGGACUCCGGCCGAACUCCGGCCGAUUUUCAAACUCACUGUUCUCCUUCGUUUUUCACCCAUUUUCUUCGUAUUUUAUACCAAAUUAAAGCCCUAAGAGUGUACUAUCACGUUGGACUAGUUUUAGGGCCUAAAAACUACGAAAUCUCACCUUGCAAAAACCAAAGAUUUCGGCCAAACUUGAAACCUACGAUCCCGACGUCCAAAACUCUCCAACGAAUGUCCCCGAGCUUCCUUAGGACCUCCUAAAGCUCACCACAAGCUUGAAAUCUCCUGAAACACAACAUUUUACGUUCGCAUGAACAGUACCUCAAAAAUGGAGGUUCGGGAUCUACGUGAAAUCGAAGGUUUCACUUCCUAAAACUAGCACCAAUGAACUCAGGACGUCAAAACGAUGAAGAUACAUACCUUAUUUGCCCCGAUCCGUUGAGUUUCGAAGGGUUUUGGGUGAAGGUCCGUACGAUAUGGGUGUGUUUGGGUGUGAGGUCGGGAGAGAGAGAGAGAGAGAGAGACUGAGAGAGUGAUCGAGAGGGAGGAGAGAAAGGGACUGAUCUUGUGUGGUCAAACCAAUCCACACCAUCCAAAAUCUCUCUUAAGUCCCUAACCACAAAAAUAUAAAAUCAACUUCCAAAAUAUUUCUAACUUAAACAACUUCUUAAAAGUUUAGGGACCAAACAUUUUCAAAACGUAAUACACCCAUACCUUGAUACCUGACAAGGGCAUUUUUGUCCUUUCACAUUCCCGCCAAAAGUACCUCCGGGACGGGCUGUGACAAUCUCCCCUCCUUAUAGAAUUUCGUCCCCGAAAUUCCCAUAACCAAAUCAUAAUUCAAUACUCGUAGAAUAAUCUUGGGUACAUCUCUCUCAUCCGGUCUUCCAUCUCCCAAGUAGCUUCCUCCACAGAAUGAUUUCUCCACAACACCUUCACCAAACUCACCGUCUUGUUCCUUAGAACCUUGUCCUUCCAAUCCAAUAUUGUGAUUGGUUCCUCAUCAUACGUCAAAUCCGGAUUAAUCUCUAACGGUUGAGGAGGAAUCACAUGAGAAGGAUCAGAAAUAUAAUGCCGAAGCAUAGAGACAUGGAACACAUUAUGGACCUUAGAUAACUCCGGAGGCAGUUCCAACCGGUAGGCAACUUCACCAACUCUUUCAAUGAUCACAUAAGGUCCAAUAUAUCUCGGACUUAGCUUCCCUCUUUUCCCAAAUCGUACCACACCUCUCCAAGGCGACAAUUUCAAGAAUACCCAAUCACCCACAUCAUACACUCGAUCAGUAGUAUGCCGAUCCGCUAAACUCUUAUGUCGAUCCUGGGCUGCUUUCAGGUUUGACUUAAUUACCUGAACAUUUUGAGUCGUCUCAUCCACGAUCUCAGGGCCUUCUAAUACCCGUUCACCAACCUCAGACCAACAUAAUGGCGUUCGACACGCCCUACCAUAAAGUGCCUCGAAUGGGGACAUACCAAUGCUCGAGUGAAAACUGUUAUUAUAAGCAAACUCCAUUAAGUCCAGACGAUCAUGCCAAGAAUCACCAAAUUGUAAUACCGAAGAUCUCAACAUAUCUUCCAACGUCUGAAUGGUCCUCUCUGAUUGCCCAUCAGUUUGAGGAUGAUAAGCUGUGCUAUACAGUAAUUGAGUACCCAGAGCUUCCUGAAAAGCCACCCAAAAUUUAGAAGUAAAUCUCGGGUCUCGAUCGGAGAUAAUAUUUACUGGGACUCCAUGAUACUUGACAAUCUUCGAAAUAAACAACUUAGCCAAUUUAUUCAGAGGGUAUUUCUCCCUCACUGGAAUGAAAUGCGCCGACUUGGUGAGUCGAUCCACAAUCACCCAAAUACCAUCAAAUCCAUUUCGCGUACGAGGAAGUUUAUACACGAAAUCCAUGGUUAUAUUUUCCCAUUUCCACUGGGGAACAGGAAGGGGUUGCAUUCGCCCAAAGGGCUUCUUCCUUUCUGCUUUCACUUGCUGGCAAAUAAUACACCUGCUCACAUAUUCUGCAAUUUCUCUUUUCAUACCCGGCCAAUAAUAAAAUGGUCGAAUGGUAUGAUACAUUUUUGUUCCUCCCGGAUGCAUCGCAUAAGCUGAACAAUGUGCUUCAUCCAGAAUUUCCUUCUUCAAUUCCUCAUUAUUCGGAACAUACAUUCUGUCUUCUUGCAUGAGCAUACCAUCUGAUUCCCGAAUUCUGAGGUCUUUCUUUUUCCCUUCACUUCUUAACUGAACCAACUCCUGAAUUUCUUCAUCCACCAUUUGAGAUGCAAGUAUACGCUCCACCAAAACUGGCCUGACUUGAAAACUAGCAAGAAAUGCUCCACCUUGAUUCUCCCACUCCAAUCUUACUCCAGUUGCCCUCAGUUCAGCAAGAAGAGGAACACGACUAGCAUAUAGGGCAUUAAGUCUACCUUGUGGUUUCCUACUCAGUGCAUCCGCUACUACAUUAGCACGACCUGGAUGGUAUUCAAUAGAACAAUCAUAAUCACUUAGCAAUUCCAUCCACCUUCGCUGACGAAGAUUAAGAUCAUGCUGGGUGAAUAAGUACUGAAGACUCUUAUGAUCAGUGAAGAUCUUACACUUCUCACCAUACAAAUAAUGUCUCCAAAUUUUCAAAGCAAAAACAAUUGCUGCCAAUUCAAGAUCGUGAGUAGGAUAGUUCCUUUCAUGAUUUUUCAACUGCCUAGAAGCAUAGGCAAUCACCUUAUUAUGCUGCAUCAAAACACAUCCCAAACCAUUUAAUGAAGCAUCACUAUAUAUCUCAAAAUUACCGCUAUCGUCGGGAAGUACCAACACCGGUGCAUGAGUGAGGCAAUACUUCAAUUGUUGAAAACUCCGCUCACAAUUCUCAUCCCCACUCAAAUUUAACAUCCUUCCUGGUCAACUUUGUCAACGGUAAAGCAAUCAUAGAGAAAUCCUGAACGAACCGUCGAUAAUAACCUGCUAAGCCAAGAAAGCUUCGUACCUCCGUGACGGUUCGAGGUUGCUCCCAAUUCUCCACUGCUGCAAUCUUUUGAGGAUCAACUUGAAUACCUUGAGCUGAUACCACAUGCCCCAAAAAUGCCACUUCAGUCAACCAAAACUGACAUUUACUGAACUUGGCAUACAACUGAUGCUCCCUUAAUUUCCUUAACACCAAAUUAAGGUGUCGGAUAUGAUCUGCUUGGGACUUAGAGUAUACCAGAAUAUCGUCAAUAAAAACAAUAACGAAUUUAUCAAGAUAUUUCUGGAAUACCUCAUUCAUUAAUCUCAUAAAAGCUGCAGGCGCAUUAGUCAACCCAAACGGCAUAACCGAAAAUUCAUAAUGUCCGUACCGAGUUCGGAAAGCCGUCUUAGGUACAUCAUCUUCUUUAAUCUUCAAUUGAUAAUAUCCAGAUCUCAAAUCAAUCUUAGAAAAUACACAUGCACCUUUCAGCUGAUCGAACAAAUCAUCAAUGCGAGGCAAUGGAUAACGGUUUUUAAUCGUUACCCGGUUCAAUUGUCUAUAAUCAAUACACAAUCGAAAAGUUCCAUCCUUCUUUCUCACAAAUAAUACUGGGGCACCCCAAGGUGAAGAACUAGGUUGAAUAAAACCUUUAUCAAGUAAUUCUUGCAACUGGAUUUUUAAUUCCCUCAACUCAGCAGGAGCCAUUCUAUAAGGAGUCAGAGAUAUAGGGUCCGUACCUGGAAGCAAAUCAAUAGAGAAUUCCACCUCCCUGUCUGGUGGUAAUCCCGGCAAAUCAUCAGGGAAUACAUCCGAAUAAUGUCUGACCACACCAACUUCUUCUAUACUAGUAGGAGCAACAUCAUUUAAUACCACAUGUGCCAAAUAUCCCUGACAACCCUUCGAUAAUAAUUUCCUCGCCCUUAUGGCAGAAAUAACUCCAUGUCUCACCCCAUUUCUCUCGCCCACAAAAGUAACCUCGGGUAAUCCAGGACGAUAAAAAGUAACUGAUUUACCAUAACAAUCAAUAUGGGCACGAUUAUGGUGUAACCAAUCGGCCCCUAAAAUCACAUCAAAAUCCACAAUAUCUAACGGAAUAAGAUCAGCGGACAUAAUCACGCCCUCAACCAUCACUGGACACCCCAGAUACACACUAUCCACAUAACAUUUAUCUCCUCUAGGCAUGGCAAACUCUAAAUCAAAUCCUAGAGGUGAAGGGUGAGGUUGGGUUAUUUGAGCAAACGUAUGAGAAAUCACAGAGUGCGUAGCACCACAAUCAAUCAAAACCUUAGCAAAAUGACCAAGAACAUUUAACGUACCCAUAAUCAAGUCUGGAUGGUUCUGAGCCUCCAGCAAGGAAAUAUGAUUAAUUCGCCCCUGAGCCUGCUGUCGUCCACCUCGGCCUCUAUUGCCCUGAUUACCUCGUCCCCGAGGAUUACGUCCCUGGCCUGGCUGACUAGGCUGCCUGGAUGAUCCUGCACCACCAGUAGCAACUUCCCCCUGACGGGGCUGGCCUCCCUGAUGCCACUGCGAUUCACCAGCUGGCAUAGAGGAAUAAGAUGAAUAACCUCCAAAAUCCUGAGAAUAUCCAGCCUGAGAGUAAGGCUCCUGGGAAUACUGAUAAGGUCCGGGAGCAUACGGAGCAGCAUCCCCCUGAUAGUGGUAAGCACCACCACGACUCGGCUGGCCAUAACCACCCGGUCCCAAAUUCUGCUGAACUGGUGCUGGAGGUGGUAUAGUGGUCUGCUGUGGUCUCUGUUGACCCUGGGGGCACUGAGAAGCCCGAUGUCCCAUCUGCCCACACGUAAAGCAGGCACCAGUACCUCUCCUACACUCACCAUGGUGACGGAAGUUACAACGGCGGCACCAUGGAGCGCCAGAUCCACCAGCAUCCCUCUGACCCUGAAAUCUGGGUCCACCAGAAAAUCUUCCACCACCUCUCCUCGGGCUAGUAAAACUAUAUCCCCCACUAGAAGAGCUCGAACUCGCUCCACUCUUCUUAAAACUCUGUGUCUGUCGAGGUCCCGGAAUAGAAAUACCCUUACCUUUGUCAUUCUUCUUCUGACCCUCAUUCUUGUCCUCGUCAUCCUCACUGUCAGGAAGAUUAUCAGAGUCCUCCAUCCUAACCAGAAUCUCGAAAUACUCAUGAUAAUCAGCGCAGGGGAGUGCAUUGGCAAAGGUACGCCACUUCUUCUUAGAUCCCAACUUGAAACGUCGAAGCAUCUCUCCCUGAUUACCAGCUGUAUCAGUGUCAUAACGAGACAAAUCAGUAAACUUUCUAUAAUAUUCAUGUGCCGACAUAUUUCUCUGUUUCAACCUGGUGAAUUCCUGCUUCUUACGGUCAAUAUACUCAGGAGGAACGAAUCUCUUCAUAAAAUGCUCCUUGAAUACUUUCCAGUCGGCUGCCGUCUCAGGUGACAUGUACCUAGCCUGAUUUAUCCACCAUGCUGCUGGUUCACGACCCAAAAACCAAGUGGUGGUCUCCACCCACCUAUUAGCAGGGAGAUUCCCCUGACUCUGCAUCACCUGGAAAGUUUUCUCAAUAUGAUCAAGCCAUUUCUCUGCCCCCUCAUGACUUUCAUUACCCAUAAACCGAUCUAACUUCAAGUUGUACAUGGUCUCCAGAGGUGUCCUCGGAGGAGGGGGAGGACGAAUCACAUUCUGUAAAGCCUGGGCCAUCGCUUCCCCUAACUGAGUAAUAUCCGGGAAAUUAGGUUCAGAAGUACGGCGGGACUCCCUACGCUCUCUACGAGGCGGCAUGAUUCUGACAGAAAACAUCAAAAGAUCGUUAAGACAUUAACAAAUUUACAGGACUGCAACCUAAGCUCUGAUACCAAACUGACACACCCUGAUCCGGAGGAUCCAGGUGUGCUGGCCGUCACGUGGGCGUGACGUAACCAUAAGCACGACACGGAAGCGUAAUAACAACAUAUAACAACAGAAAUUCAAACCGAACUCAACAUAACCACAUACGGACAUAACCGGACGAGUUUACAAGUAAACACAUAAGUUCAGAGCAUAGGUUAUCUGCAGUCAAGUAGGACUAAAAUAAGAAUACAUCACCCUCAGGUGAGUCCUACAUGUCCCAAAUCUGUCAGAAAGCCGGAAAGGACCUCGUGAGCCAACCACCGUUAAACUAGAACCUGGAGGGGCGCAAAACAAAAUGAGUGGGUCAGUAAAAACAAAUUAGUUUUUCCAAAACAUUUCAUUAAAAACAGUUAUAUCCCCUCGCCGUAAAAACCUGUAUACUUUCCCAAAAAAUUAUAUAACCAUAUAAAAUCUCAACAUUUAAAUCUCAAAUCUUUAACAUUUUUCAAGAAAACAUGCCAUGCCAUAAAUCAAAAUAUAAAUCAGGUGAAAUAAGGAAUCAAUCGGAGACCCUGCAGUUGGUCCUAUACGAUUAAUUCAAUAGCUCAAUAUCUCACUAAGCCGGAGUCACCACAGUGACCUAUACGGCCCUACUCUGCACAUCACUCGGAACUACGUAAGGUAGUCUAUACGAUGAAAGGUGUAAAAAUACGCUCUAGUGCUUCUCUCAUCAUAUCAUCAGCGCGCAUAACUAAGGUCACCCACUAGUCGGAAUCACGCCUAGUGAUCUGUACGACUAGCAUGUCGGAACCCUCACAUGGUCUGUACGACAUCCACCUACUUGGAUCCAAGGCGAGCGUGCGGUGUGGUGAAUAAUAUAAGCACUAACACCUAGGGUGCAGAUUAUGAGCUCAACACAUCUCAACAACAACAAUUCAAUGAAUAAAUGAACUCACCUGACUUACCUGUGCCUCCACAGCACCAUGCAACAUGUAUGCAUCAUAUAUCAAUCAUAUAACUCAUGUGAAAUUCACCUUUUCCAAAUAAUUCUAUGCAUGGCAUUUUAAAAACGUUUUCUCAUAUAAAUGCAUUUUCUGGGAAAACAAUAGCAUAUAGGUAAUACGAAAACAAAACUGCCCACUCACUGAUAAGUCGACGGGUCGUAACCCCCGUGGCGUCCCUGGAUGCGGUCGUCCUCGGGAUACGUCUCACCUAUAUGCGAAACAACUAUAAAAUCAUUAAUUUUAAGCAUAUCACCAAUAAUUCGAAAUAACUUUCUCAUACGAUGCUCAAUUUUGGUAUAUGAAUAUACCACAUCGACCUACUCGACGUCACGAGCGUCGAGAAAAUUUUCAGAAAAAAUUUUGGAAGCCCCACGCGCCCCCACGCGCCACACGUGGCACGGGUCCACGCGCUGGCCACGCGCAGCACGUGCAGCGCACGUGUCGUCUUCUUCGCAGGGCCUCGCCGGACUGGUUCUCCGGUGGCCGGACUCCGGCCGAACUCCGGCCGAUUUUCAAACUCACUGUUCUCCUUCGUUUUUCACCCAUUUUCUUCGUAUUUUAUACCAAAUUAAAGCCCUAAGAGUGUACUAUCACGUUGGACUAGUUUUUAGGGCCUAAAAACUACGAAAUCUCACCUUGCAAAAACCAAAGAUUUCGGCCAAACUUGAAACCUACGAUCCCGACGUCCAAAACUCUCCAACGAAUGUCCCCGAGCUUCCUUAGGACCUCCUAAAGCUCACCACAAGCUUGAAAUCUCCUGAAACACAACAUUUUACGUUCGCAUGAACAGUACCUCAAAAAUGGAGGUUCGGGAUCUACGUGAAAUCGAAGGUUUCACUUCCUAAAACUAGCACCAAUGAACUCAGGACGUCAAAACGAUGAAGAAGAUACAUACCUUAUUUGCCCCGAUCCGUUGAGUUUCGAAGGGUUUUGGGUGAAGGUCCGUACGAUAUGGUGUGUUUUGGGUGUGAGGUCGGGAGAGAGAGAGAGAGAGAGAGACUGAGAGAGUGAUCGAGAGGGAGGAGAGAAAGGGACUGAUCUUGUGUGGUCAAACCAAUCCACACCAUCCAAAAUCUCUCUCUUAAGUCCCUAACCACAAAAUAAUAAAAAUCAACUUCCAAAAUAUUUCUAACUUAAACAACUUCUUAAAAGUUUAGGGACCAAACAUUUUCAAAACGUAAUACACCCAUACCUUGAUACCUGACAAGGGCAUUUUUGUCCUUUCACAUUCCCGCCAAAAGUACCUCCGGGACGGGCUGUGACAUUAUGACCUAUAAUAUUAUAAACGAAUGUUAAAUUAAAUGAUUAAAUAAAUUGACAAAGUAAAGAAAACAAAAGAAAACGUUUUGAAAACCAAAUUGUAAAAACCUAGGGUUCCACCGUCCCUUUAACAAUCCUAUGUAGAUUUAUCAAUUACUUAUGAAUUACCCAUGCAACUUUGAAGGUUAGGUUUUCCUAAUGCAUAUUCUACUCGUGGUAUUUAAGCUAGAACGUAUAUCAAACAUGCAAUUCGUCUAUGGUAUUCAGAUCAAAUAUAAACAUGCAUGACUUGUUAUGGUUUGUGAAAACCCUUUGAAAAAUCAUGCAACCCCUAAGACGUGGUAUUCAUCCUAGGUGAAAUUACAACUAUCAAUCACGAGACUCAAUUGCCCGUUGGUAUUCCGAUCGAAUUGCAUCCAAUUACUUAUCUAAACAUGGUAGCUAAGCAUUAAGAUAUAGAGAUAGUUUAAAGCAAAAUGAUUAAUAAUUCAAAGUAUGUAUACGUAAUAUCAUAAGCAAUUAAAUAAAAACUACAUAUUUAUGCUAAGGUUCAAGGCAUUGCCCUAGCAAACGAAACUAGUUAUGAAGAACCAUAAAACAAAAUAUUAUUAAAAACAUGGAUAAAAAACAUCUUGAAAAUAAACUUGAAUUCUCAAAAGCAAUUCUCCAAAUGGAGUGUGUGUUCUCCUUUCCUAACCUAAUGGCUAAAAGGUCUUAUUUAUACUACUAGAAAAUAAAACCCUACCUUGAAAAAGUCUUAGAAUAAAACUAGGAAACGUAAUUAAAUGAUAAAACAUAAAAUAAAAGGUUUCCUAUUUGAACUAGAAUUCGGAGUUCUCAGAAAAUUAGUCUUUUGACCAAUCAAAUCAACUCCGAUUUGGUCCCAAAAUGUCUCUUUUGAAAGCUGAAGACGUCUCCUACAAAUUCUCAGAAGGAAUCUUCCUCAAAAUAUGCCAUCUUGACCUCUAAAAUACAUAAAACAUCCAAAAACAUCAAUCUGGGAAAGCUGCUGGACUUUAAUUUUAUCGCCACGGUCAAACGGCUUGGUAGAAAAAUUUGGAAUUUUGAUAAAAUCAUCUUGAAAGGCAGACGAACAUCCUCCAUUAUAAUCACUCUAAAAUUCAUCCGUCUGAUCACUUUUUGCUCCAGAGGAAGUCGAAUGUCCUACAUUGGAAAUAUAUAACAAAGUAUCAAAAUUCUACCAAAAUAACCAAUAUAUUAAUACAAAGAUUAGGGUAAAAUAUAUAAUAUAAUAUUGACUCAUCAAAAGACUUGGAGGGACAUCUAUUAAGUAUAUAAACUGUAGUAUUCAUAGCCUUUGCCCAAAGUGCAUAAGGAAUACCUUUUUCAGGCAUCAUAGACUUUGCCAUUUCCACCACAAUCCUGUUCUUUCUCUUAACAACUUCAUUCUUUUGAGGAGAGUAUGCCAUGGUUAACUAUCUCUGAAUUCUAAGCUCAUUGUAGUACUUGUCAAACUUAGUUGAUAGAAACUCUCCACCCCUAUCACUCAUGAGACAUUUCACUUUGUAUCCACACUACAACUCAGUCAUUUCUUUAAACUUCUUGAAACAUUCAAAUGCACUCGAUUUGUUAUUGAGGAAGUAUACCCAUGACAUUCUGGUACAAUCAUCAUUAAACAAAAGGAAGUACCUAUUGCCAGAGAUAGAUUCAAUUUGCAUUGGUCCACAGAUGUCUAUAUGAACCAAUUCCAAUGGAAAUUUAGCACUCAAAGUGGAUUCUGAAGGAAAUGAAUCUCUAUGUUGCUUUCCCAGCAUGCAGCCUUCACAUACAAUAGAAGUCUUCUCCAUUUAGGCAGUCCAUGAACCAUUUCUUGGACUUCAAGUAAUUUGAUACUCUGAUCAUUUAGAUGUCCCAGCCACUUGUGCCAUGUGUGCAAACAAUAUGUCACACUUGCCUGCAAGGCUAAUUGGUUUGCAGGCAUCAUUGUAAGAGGGGAGCCUCUGUUAUUUUUCAUCUGCAAUCUAACCACUAACUUGUCAAGUGACCAACCAUCGAAGAUAUUCUCCACAUUUCCUCCAAACAACAAAUAAGACCCAUGCUCCAUCAUUUGUCCAACACUGAGAAGAUUCUCCUUAAGUCCAAGAACAAGCAUCAUUUCUUGAAUGUGUUUUCUUCCCAAUUUAGCCUCUAUCACUAGAGUUCCCUGUUGGAAAUAUGCCCUAAAACCAAUCAUAUGAUGAUACUUUACGGACAUUUCACAUGUUAAACUAAUAUAACUUAAUAUAAAGGGCAAAGAUUAUUGGUUGAAGCCGUCUCACAUAAAUGUUAUACGCUUAAACGAUAAGUCCAAGGAAUAUGUAAUUGGGAGAAUGCAAUCUAAAGAAGUUAGAUUCAUGAAACCAUUCUCUUUCGUAUACAUAUCCUAAACGUUCCUGAUCAUAGGAUUGCCAAUUGGGCAUUGACAGUCCGUUAAGAUCAGUACGUGCUAUGUCUUCUCUUAGGGAGAGUGACUGGUCUCGAGUCAUUGGUGUCACUGACACCAAGACAAGCAUGAAGGUACUUAAUAGAGAAUGAGUUCACUGAACACGAUCAACAAGGAGUUCUCAUACUCAUGUCACAUGAGAACUCAUGGUUGCGAUAAUGCAAAGUAGUCAUUUGACCUGAGGCAUCAUAGUUGUCUUGUGGUUAGGUCCUUGAUCUUUGACUAUGUCAAAGUCACUCCGUCAGAGGGUGUCCACGGCAUAGUUGGGGUUAAGCCACUUAGCCAUGGAGGCAAGUGAAUGCGAAACAAGGGAUCUCUAACCUUUAAACCGUUUGAAGGAGAAUACUCUAUGAUAUGAUUAAGAAUCUCUGGCCAGAGUAUGAAUGAGAUUUAGGAAAUCGUUCCAAAUCAUAUUCAAGGUAAUCAUAUAAGUAAGAGAAUCACAUUGGAUAGUAGACAUGAAUAAACUAUCAAACGAAACAAUGUGGUCAAGAGUAUUGUAUUAGAGUGCAUUGUAUUCCUAAACUGAAUAGGUUCUCCACCUCUUCUGAUUAGCUUGGGUAACCAUGACAUACUUCUAGGUGUCACUUAUGGUUUGUGGAAGCCCUAAACGUGUAUAAUCACUAAAGGGAGAACAAUUCACAAUCGAUUUGAAAGAGUUCUAAUCGCCCAUUGCCUCGCUAAAAGGAACCUAAUGGAUCGUACACCGUGUAAGGUAGAGAUUGAAGAAACAACGGAGAUGAGUAAGGAUAAUUAAAUGGUUUAAUUAUUUAUGGCAAGGAUUAAUUAAUAUGUUAAUUAAUCAAACGAAUAAAGUUCGUUAAAGACCUCAGGUUAGUUUUGGACCUCAAGUCCCAAUGGGCUUCGAACGUCAUGCCCAUUGACUUAAGUUGUAUGACAACUUAAUGACUAAUAAUUCACAAAGGCCCAAACAGCCCAAUAAAACCCUAUGGCUUGCCAUAUUGAUAAAGGAGUGGGUUUUGGACUUAUUACAAGUUUGCCACUCCAAUGAAGGUAGGUAUAAAUGUGACUUUAUAGCCUUUUCUUCAUUAGGGUUUCUUUUGGAGAAAAGAUGAGAACACAAUGUCUCUCCCUUUCCCUCUAGGAGGCCGGCCCCCUUGGAGGAGAUUAGCUAGCAAUCUUCCCUCCUCCAAGGUCACUCAUCUCUUCUUCGAGUCUCUCCUAGGUGUGGAAAAAUGAGAGGUUCUCAACUUUGGGAACUUGGAGAAUCCUUUCAACCAUCCUCAUCCAAGAAAUCCAUGGAGCUAAGAAGUAAGGAAUGAAGGCCCUCUCCUUGGGUGAUUAGCCUUUGCUUAUGCAAAGAGGAAUCGACAAAGGUAUAAGAUUUUUCAACUCACUUUGUUCUUGAGUUGAGUCUUGGUUCACCCUUCUACUAGGCUUCGAAUUUCAUGGGUAAUGUUUUGUUUUUGAGUGUAUACAAGCAUGAUUCCGCCUUUAAUUAUUAAUUGCAUGCCAUAGAUGUUGCUGAAAUGAACACGCUUUUCACAAAAUUUCCUUCAAGUGGUAUCAAGAGCCUAGGUCUAGUAGUUGGUGAAUCCUUUUGGGUUUUGUAUUUUCAUAGUUUAUGAUUUGAAUGAUGUAAUUGUUACAAGCUUUAUUCUUGCUUCUUUGAAUGUAAAUUUUGUUAGAAGAUUUGCCAUCUCAAAUGUUGUAGAUGUAGUUUAUAUGAGAAUGAAUUUUGGAGCUAAAAUUUGGUGCCAUGUUUUUGGGAAAAUUCGGCCAAAUCCAAAGGGUGGAUUUUUGGGUUCAUGUUUGUAAAGGGAAAUUAUGAGAUUUAUGAGGGAUUUCUAGUGACUCGCAUGCAUAUACAAAUCAAAAUAUAUAUACAAAAACAACGGAAGCAUAUUAUCACAUAUUAUCAAAGCUAUAGUCAUGCAAAUCCCCUUCAAGAAGUAUAGGUUCAUAUAUGAUGCAUCUAACAAAAAUUAAAGAACAAAGUGAAGGUAUAGUUUUAUACCUCUUGAUCUAGACUUGAGACCAAGGAUGGACCACCUCCAAGCUCUUUGUUCUUGGAACUCCUUGAGUCUAGCAUCCCUCCUUGCUUCCUCCACCUUGAUAGAUUUAGAGCUCCUUUGAUUCUCCUCUAGUCUCCAAAGUAGAAGACCUCUAAAGAUCCACACCCACUAGUGUAGUGAGAUGGAUGUUGGAAUAACCAAAAAGGAGAAAAUAUGAUUAUCUAUUUCUCCCUUAUGGUGGCCGGCUAUAUUGUGUGUAGAAAGAGAGAGACUUUUGUUUUCUCUAGUUGAAAAGAACACACAAAAACCCUAAUGAAACUUUUUCAUUAAACUUCCUUUAUAUAUGUAAAAGAAGUAAGUCACAAUUUUUUACUCUCUCUCUCUCUAUGCCUAUCCUUGGCUGGCCUACUUUGUGUUGUUUGGGCUUUGGGCUUUUAUCAUUUCAAGUCAUCAUAUGCUUGAAUAAAAGACCAAUGGAUUUGGGCCCGAUGGGCCUGAAUGAACCUGAACUUUUCUUUAAGCCCAAAACAAUCUUUCAUCAUUUUAUGAUUUCUUUAGACUUUCUAAUUAAUCAUAACAUUUAAUUAAUUCCAUCAUCCUUUAGUUGUCUCACCAUAAGAGUAUUUCGGUGUACAAUCAUUUUAGGUUCUAAUUAGCAAGGCAGUGAGGUGAUUGGUAUCAAUCCAAUUGAUUAGUAUUUAUCCAAUCACUUAGUGAAUUAAAGCUUACUUUUAAUUCUCCUUCUUCUUUGAUGAAUACUUAUUUAAUCAUCGAGAAGAACUCACAAGCCAUGAGUAACAUCUAACCAUAUAUCAUGGCUACCCAAGCUAAUGUAGAAUUUGCUCGGAGAACUUAUUCAGUUGGAAUUAUAAUUCGAUCCUUCUCUAAUACAAUACUCAGAAUCACAUUACUAGGGUAUGGAUACUUAAUGUCAAACCCCUAAUGUGAUUAUAUCAAGUUAUAUGAUUCUAUUGAAUCAUAUGGGAACGCUUUCCAUCAUUAUGCUCGAUACUUCGGCCGAAGAUUCCCGAAUCAUAUCUAAGAGUAUUCAUCCUCUCAUAACGAGGAUUAGAGAUCCUUUGUUGAUCAUUCACAUGUCUCUGAGAAUAAACCACUGACCCCAACAAUGCAUAGAACACAUCCAAGAUGAGAUGUGGUCACGUCUCAUUAUCAAAUGAUCAGCAACGUAUCCCCAAGACAACUAUGAUGUCUCAGGUCAAAGGAUUACUUACAUUAUUCCAACUAGUAGAGUUACUUGCUUGACAUGUGAGUAGACCUCCAUUCAAGUACUCUCGUUUGAUUGUGUUCAGUGAACUCAUUCCCAUAAUGAGCACCUACAUACUUAUCUUAGUGUCACUACAUGAAUGGCAUGAGACUUUCCAUCCUUCCCAUUGGAAGGGGACAUAGUAUGUAUUGGUCUAUGUAUUAUCAGUAUCCCUCUGACAAUCCUAUGACCAGGAACUUUUGGACAUUACGGUUAUGUGAAGAAGGUCUCUGCAAUCUAACAUCAUUAGAUUACUUCUUCCAUCAAUUCAUUGUCCAUGGAUACACUAUUUAGGACGUAUAUCGUUUAUUGAGAUAGUCCCAAUGAGUGACUGUGCCUUUUGCUGUAUUAGAGUCAUUUAUACAUACAGACAUUGUCCUGAAAGGUUUCUUCCAAAGAUUGACUUUCAAGGCAUAUCUCCAACAAUCUCCCAGUUGCACUAAAGUCAAUCACUAUUGCAUCUUAUAGAUGCUAGUCGAGUGAACUUGAGCUAGUAGGCCAACUAGGUUAUGCAUUAAUCCUUUUAACUUAAAGGGAUUUAUUUAUUAAAUGUUUUGGAAACAUUUAACGUUGUCUCUUCUUUGUGUUUAAAAUACUUUGAUGAGACUUUGAUUCCAUGGCUUGAGCUAUCGCCCCAUUACUCUUUGAUUCCAUGGCUUGAGCUAUCGCCCCAUUACGUCGCAGUAUCCUACUAACGACCUUAUGGUUUGGAUUCAAUCAUUAGUUCAAAAUGAAUCCCGUCUAUUUGAAACACCUUUGGAAGCAGUUUCUAAAACUUUAAUAAAUAUCAACAUAUAUUUCGUUUGUAUACUUUAUACAGACCAUGCUCCAACCUUGAGACCAUUGUAGUACCAUACUAACAAUACAAUCAUAUGAUUAGUACUUCAUCCACCAUGAAGUUCCAUUUGUUAAAAUGGGUUAUUGUCACUUUGGUUUAUAUAACCUAAGUGAAUGCACGCUUCCAGAAUCUCACUUUGAUAUUCUUUUCUCAAAGGUGAUAAUACUUUAUUAGUUGCUACGGUUCUGAUCCUGGGCUAUCGCAAUAUCUUAAAGUGACAACCCCGAGGGUUAUUCACCUUUGGAUAUCAUCUCACAAGUCCAUGCAUGUGUCUCUUUUGUGAUUUUGUGACAUAUUCUUUAUAAGGGUCAUGAAAGCAAUUUUCUAUCAUAUGUAGAAAUACUUUCUCAAAUCUUCAACAUUUGAGAUUCAAUUUCCCUAUAUAACAUUCUUGAGACAGCCUUACUGUAUCAAUAAGUCCAUUUUAAGUCUGUACUUCAAAAUUGACCUUGUCACAAUUUGUCAUUUUGAGUAACAUCAAUAUUUAUUACGUCUAUCAAAUAGACUUCAUUCAUAAUAUGUUGCUCAAAAGUAUGACAUCACUCCCACUGACCAUGUUGUAACUAAGCAUUCAUUCAAAACCUUAAGAAAAACAUAAAACUUAUAUUUUCUUGAUUUGAAUGCAUAUAGCUCCCAUUAACUUGUCUUGGAUCUAUUGACAAUCUUUAAGAUCUAUUAGCUUAUUGAUGAUGCCUCAACAGUUUUGGACAAUCAACAAUUCAAGCUAACACAGAUUAUUUAAACGAACAUACACAAAAGAUUUCCUUCUCAAGUAAUUCCAUUUGAACUGUAUGACUUGUUUUAUCAAGUCCAUUCAUUUAAAUUAUAUGGUGUCAAAUAUCAUAUUUCAAGUUUUAUUCAUACUAAAACCUUUUAAAGUAGUCAUAUAAGAAUUAUCCAAAUCAUUAUUGGAAGCAUGGCUCCUAAUAAAGAUAUAGGAGUUCAACAUUCCUUCUAGGUGGUUUAUUUAAUUCCUUAUUAAAACUACAUAAAGCAUUAUAGUUACAUGAGGUGUCGAAAUCGGAUUGUCUUGUUGUUAAACUAUAUGUUGUGAUUCAUUUUGAAACUAUUCCCUUUUGUUUCAUCAACUUGUCCUUUUGCUUUGUACUUAGCUUGUUCUCGUAAAAGAGAAUGAUGGACAACUCCAAACAUAUAACCAAUUUAUGCUAGGUUGGUGAAACCAACAUUCAUAGAUUAUUCUUAGAAUGUUACACAACAUAGAUUUUAACGCUUCGAAGAGCUUGAGACCUUUAACAAUUAAAAUUACAAGCUCAUUAAUAAUAGUGUUAUACCAUUAAUUUUAGACAACUAUAAACCAAUCAUAUUCAAGUUUAUAUCCUUUUCUUGAAGGAAAUUUUGUGAAAAACAUGUUCAUUUGAGCAACAUCUAUGUGAAGGAAUUAUUUUGUAAAAUAUGUUCAUUUGAGCAACAUCAUAUAGCAUGCAAUUAACAAUUAAAGGCGGAAUCAUGCUUGCAUGCACUCAAAAACAAAACAUUACCAUGAAAUUCAAAGCCUAGUAGAUUGGUGAACCAAUAAUCAACUCAAAACAAAGUGAGUUGAAAUUAUUACCUUUGUAGAUUCCUCUUUGCAUAAGCAAAGGCUAAUCACCCAAAGAGAUAGGGCCUUCAUUCCUUGCUUCUUAGAUCCAUGGAUUUGGAUGGAAAAAUAGGUUUCUCCAAGUUCCCAAAAUAGGGAACCUCUAAGUCUCUUCACCAAGGUUUGAUUGUAGAAGAAAUGAGUGACCUUGGAGUAGUAGGAUUGCUAGAUGUACCCUCCAAGGUGUUGGCCUCUUUAGAGAGAAAAUGGAGAGACAAUUCUCACCAAUUUUCCCCCAAAAUAAACCCUUAAUUUUUCCUUAAUGAAUUUUGGCUAUAAAGUCAUUUAUAUAGUCACUUCUUUAAGUAACCUAAACAACCAAAACCCUAAUUCAUCUAAUAUGGCCGGCCAUUUAGGGAUGUUUGGGCUUUUGGGCUUUAAUGAAUCUUUAUUCAUUAAAUUGUCAUACAAUUUAAGUUAAUGGGCUUGACGUUCGAAGCCCAUUGGGCCUUAAGGUCCAAAACUAUCCCGAAGUCUUUAACGAACUUAUUCGUUUGAUUAAUUAACAUAUUAAUUAAUCCUUGCCAUAAUUAAAUGAUUAAACCAUUUAAUCAUUCUUACUCAUUUCCGUUUAAUCUCCAAUCUCUACCUUUUACGGUGUGCGAUCCAUUAGGUUCCUUUUAGCGAGGUAGUGGGCGAUUAAAACCAUUUUACAUCGAUUGUGAAUUGAAACUAUUUUCAAUUCUCCCUUUAGUGAUUACACACGUUUAGGGCUUCCACAAACCAUGAGUGACACCUAGCAGCAUAUCAUGGUUACCCAAGCUAAUCAGAAGAGGUGGAGAAACCUAUUCAGUUCGGGAUUACAAAUGCAAUACGGUCCUUCUCUAAUCUAAUACUCUUGACCACAUUGUUUGGUAUGAUAGUUUAUUUACUCAUGUCUACUAUCCAAUGUGAAUCGUUUGCUUAUAUGAUUUCCUUGAAUGUGAUUUGGAACGCAUUCCCCAAUCUCAUUCAUACUCUGGCCAGAGAUUCCAAAUCAUAUCAUAGAGUAUUCUCCCUCAACUGUUUGAAGGUUAGAGAUCCCUUGUUGCGCAUUCACUUGUCUCCAUAGCUAAGUGGUUUAACCCCAACGAUGCCGUGACACCCCGAGGGGGUGAAUUAGACAUAAUCAAAGAUUAAGGACUUAACCACAAGACAACUGUGAUGCCUCAGGUCAAAGGACUACUUUGCAUUAUCCCAACCAUGAGUUCUCAUGUGACAUGGAAUAUAAGAACUCUUCGUUGAUCACGUUCAGUGAACUCAUUCUCUUAUUGAGCACCUACGUACUUGUCUUGAUGUCACACACACCAAUGACUCGAGACUAGUCACUCUCCCUGAGAGAAGACACAGUACGUACUGAUCUUAACGGACUGUCAAUGCCCAAUUGGUAAUCCUAUGAUCAGGAACAUUUAGGAUGUGUCUACGAAAGAAUGGUCUCAUUAAUCUAACUUCAUUAGAUUGCAUUCUCCCAAUCACAUAUUCCUUGGACUUUAUCGUUUAAGCAUAUAACAUUUAUAUGAGACGGCUCAAACAAUAAUCUUUGCCCUUUAUAUGUUAAACUAGAUUAGUUUAACAUUUGAAAUGUCCGUAAAGUAUCAUCAUAUGAUUGGUUUUAGGGCACAUUUCCAACAAUCUCCCACUUGCACUAGAGCCAAUCAGCAUUGGUCAUCAGUGAUGAUACCUCUUCUGUAGUCAUUUCAUAAAUGGCUGAAAAGUAGGCCUAGACAAUGGAUAUCUAUAUGUUAUCCAUAGAAGCAACGUUGAGAAUAUCGACGUCACCAUUAUACAUGAUUCUCAAUCAUGUGGUUCAGUCUCUCAUUUGUGUUCGGAUCUUGAUGAGCCCUUGAUUCCCAGGCUUGAGCUAUCGCCCCAUUAGUGUCAUACACUUUCUGGUUGGAACCGAAUAGAGAGUUCAUAAAUGAACUUUCCCAUCCAAACAACAUUGUUGUAAACUUCUAUAUGGCAAUAUAUCUUGCAUUCAUAAUGGAACACACUAAAGUCAUUACUUUAAUGUUUCCAUCCAAAUAUCUCUUUAGUCAUAAUAAAGAGAUAUCUGUUUAUUUCUUCAUUCGUAAUGAAGAAACAUCCAAUGAUGGAUUAGAUUCAUAAUCUAAUACAUUUACGCUUCCAUUACGUUACUCUAAUUCUUCCUCGAUCUUUGAGGAAUUUAUCCUUUAGUAUUUCUUAAAUACUUAAGGACUCACUUGACAGUUGCCAUGGUUCUGAUCCUGGCUUGUAUUGAUAUCGUCUUGUACCGUUCUAGGUACAACUCAUAUCAAUGUUUUUCAUACAAUAUGAAAUACAUAAAUCACCUUUCUGCUUACGCAUAAAGGAUUCUAUUUACGCAUUAUUUCUUUGGGAGUCAACAACUUCUUAGUCUUACUAGAAUUGUCCAUUUGAUUGAAGUUAUCAUCAUAUGAGAAACUUCCCAGCAUCUCUUGUCUAUUAUUAGGGAUUGAUACAAUCCAAUUAUAUCCUAAAAUCUAUCAAUAUAGAUUUCAUUCCCAUGUAAUAUAGACUAUAUCUUCCAUAUACAUUCUAUCGUUUAUAGAAUGCUUAAAGUCAUAAACUUUAACAAAGAAGAAUUUCAUUUCAUUUCCAAAAUUAAUAUAUCAUAUAUAUUUUAAAUUUUAGGAACAUGAUUAACUCCCCACUAAUCUUUUGUAAACCUAGUAAACAAAAGAUUUAUUUACAUCUUUAUAAGCAAUCAAACGAUUUGAUCUUUUCUCAUAAGAUGCAAAUAGCUCCCACUAGCUUGCUAAGAUCCAUGAUGGAUGGAUCUCUACAACUUACAUGUCUUGUGAUUCAUAGUUUUAGACAUAUAUUAUCAAGACUAUCUUAAUAAUGUCCAAACAUUGAAUCACCAUUUAGUUGUAGCUAGGCAAUCUUCGAAUUAAUUGAAACUAAGACUAUCUCAAAGAUGUUUCUUCAAAGUCAACCAUUUUCUUUUGAUUGUAGUCACCUUAAGCUACCAAUAGCUAUGAAGGUUUUCAUUAUUUCGAGUCAAAUGGUACUUUACCAUUUCCUUGAGUAUAUAUCGUAUAUGCACUUAGUGUAUAAGGAUUUUCAUUCUUACUUCUUUCGAAUUAAGAGGUGCAACUCUAUGACAUAGUCAUAAAGUUCAAAACCAUUCAACUGAGACGGUUUAUAAAUCCUUAUUGUCUACCUUGGAGCUUGAGGUAUAGGAACUAGGUUGUUAUAUUUGUUGAUUACUUCCUUGUCUCUCAAAGAACCCAUUCUUUGAUUCUAUCUCUCGUUCAUUUGCUUUUAGGCAAAUCACAUUGUAGAAUUACAAUGAACUACCCAACAAAACAACAUUUGUUAGUUGGUUUAUAGAAGCGAUAUCCAAAAGUUAUUUUAAGGAUAUCCUAAAAGAUUGUUAUCAAACAAAUAUUGCUUAUUAGCACACAACCCCAAUCUUUAACAUGCUUAAGAUUUGUCUUUCUUUUCCAACUACAUCUUAUGGAGUCAUGAAAAUAUUGGAAGAUCUUCUCAUUGACAAUCAUAUUGUUUUUAGAAGUAUAUAUCCUAUAUAUGGGUAAUAGAUAACAUUUAAACGAACUAAAUCUAUUCGAGUUCGUUCUUCUCCUAAUGGAGAAAUACAUUAUCUUAUGAUGCUAUUUUCCUUGAUAUCUUUCAAGGAAACUCAUCUAAAGUGUUACCUUUUCCUUGGAUCAAAUCUAAGGAGGUAAAUACUUUAGAUAUCUUACUCAUCUAUUUACAUUU
rnacentral:lncRNA from 1 species